rnacentral:rRNA from 1 species
GACGAACGCUGGCGGCGUGCUUAACACAUGCAAGUCGAACGGAAAGGCCCUGCUUUUGUGGGGUGCUCGAGUGGCGAACGGGUGAGUAACACGUGAGUAACCUGCCCUUGACUUUGGGAUAACUUCAGGAAACUGGGGCUAAUACCGGAUAGGAGCUCCUGCUGCAUGUUGGGGGUUGGAAAGUUUCGGCGGUUGGGGAUGGACUCGCGGCUUAUCAGCUUGUUGGUGGGGUAGUGGCUUACCAAGGCUUUGACGGGUAGCCGGCCUGAGAGGGUGACCGGCCACAUUGGGCCUGAGAUACGGACCAGUAUCCUACGGGAGGCAGCAGUGGGGAAUAUUGCACAAUGGGCGGAAGCCUGAUGCAGCAACGCCGCGUGCGGGAUGACGGCUUUCGGGUUGUAAACCGCUUUCGCCUGUGACGAAGCGUGAGUGACGGUAAUGGGUAAAGAAGCAACGGCUAACUACGUG